rnacentral:rRNA from 1 species
GACGAACGCUGGCGGCGUGCUUAACACAUGCAAGUCGAACGAAGAGCGAUGGGAGCUUGCUUCUAUCAAUCUUAGUGGCGAACGGGUGAGUAACGCGUAAUCAACCUGCCCUUCAGAGGGGGACAACAGUUGGAAACGACUGCUAAUACCGCAUACGAUCUAAACUCGGCAUCGAGGAUAGAUGAAAGGUGGCCUCUACAUGUAAGCUAUCACUGAAGGAGGGGAUUGCGCCUGAUUAGCUAGUUGGAGGGGUAACGGCCCACCAAGGCGAUGAUCAGUAGCCGGUCUGAGAGGAUGAACGGCCACAUUGGGACUGAGACACGGCCCAGACUCCUACGGGAGGCAGCAGUGGGGAAUCUUCCGCAAUAGACGAAAGUCUGACGGAGCAACGCCGCGUGAGUGAUGACGGCCUUCGGGUUGUAAAGCUCUGUUAAUCGGGACGAAAGGCCUUCUUGCGAAUAGUGAGAAGGAUUGACGGUACCGGAAUAGAAAGCCACGGCUAACUACGUG